rnacentral:lncRNA from 1 species
GGAAACGAACUCUGUCGCGCAUCACAAUCUCCCUAUUAUAAACCCUAGAAAUGAGUUUCAUCGCAGUGUGGCAGUCCUCACAUACCCGAAGGUUCUUGAAAAUGCGAAUCACCAUCCCUGGUUUUCCAUGAAUCAACCCAAACGCUACAGCAAGCUUCUCGCUGUGCUGACUAACAACAAUUUCUUUCUCCCCGUCUUCCAGGUCCAGCAUCAACUCUCUCGUCACAGGUUUAUACCCUUCUUCUCUCAGCCGCUCAGCUAUCCGGUGCCAUUUGCUGUAAAUCGCAUCGGCUUCCGGAUGACUCCCGUCGCCGGCCGAAAACUCAUGCACCGUACCUUCCACACUGAUUGUGCUGCAUCCUGGUAAUUUCGACACUCCCUGUUCUUUCAUUCGCCUUCUUGCCUUAGCCGCCAGUUCCCAUUCCUUUGCAGCUGCGUGAAUUUCCGCCAAUUGAAUGUAUCUGCCGCCAUGAUUAGGGUUCAUUUCAAUUGCGAGUUUUCCUAUUUGCUUACCUAACUCUAGAUUUCCAUGAAUCUUGCAGGCUUUCAAUAGUGAUCCCCAGAUGAUUGCAUUUGGUUUGACAGGCAUUGUCUUGAUCAGAUCCUUCGCUUCCGUCAACAAUCCAGCUCGGCCGAGUAGAUCAACCAUGCAUCCGUAAUGCUCAAUGGUUGGAUUCAAUGCAUGAAUUUCCUUUAUGCUUUUGAACACAGACUUCCCUUCCUGAACCAGUCCUGCAUAGCUGCAAGCAGUCA